rnacentral:tRNA from 2 species
CGUGAUUUGGCGCAGAGGUAGCGCGCGCGUUCUUAUCAAGAAAUGAGCACGCGAGGAGAAGGUUCGACUCCUUCAGUCACGACCA